AGCGAACGCUGGCGGCAGGCUUAACACAUGCAAGUCGAGCGGGCCCUUCGGGGUCAGCGGCGGACGGGUGAGUAACGCGUGGGAACGUGCCUUCUGGGCUGGAAGAACCCUGGGAAACUAGGGCUAAUACCGGAUACGCCCUUUUGGGGAAAGGUUUACUGCCGGAAGAUCGGCCCGCGUCUGAUUAGCUAGUUGGUGGGGUAACGGCCUACCAAGGCGACGAUCAGUAGCUGGUCUGAGAGGAUGGUCAGCCACACUGGGACUGAGACACGGCCCAGACUCCUACGGGAGGCAGCAGUGGGGAAUAUUGGACAAUGGGCGCAAGCCUGAUCCAGCCAUGCCGCGUGAGUGAUGAAGGACUUAGGGUUGUAAAGCUCUUUUAUCCGGGACGAUAAUGACGGUACCGGAGGAAUAAGCCCCGGCUAACUUCGUG
rnacentral:rRNA from 1 species